rnacentral:rRNA from 1 species
GACGAACGCUGGCGGCGUGCCUAAUACAUGCAAGUCGAACGAAGCUGUUUUAACUGGUGCUUGCACCGACUUAAACAACUGAGUGGCGAACGGGUGAGUAACACGUGGGUAACCUGCCCCAAAGCGGGGGAUAACAUUUGGAAACAGAUGCUAAUACCGCAUAACCACAGAAACCACAUGGUUCUGAUUUAAAAGAUGGCCUUUGUGCUAUCACUUCUGGAUGGACCCGCGGCGUAUUAGCUAGUUGGUAAGGUAACGGCUUACCAAGGCAAUGAUACGUAGCCGAACUGAGAGGUUGAUCGGCCACAAUGGGACUGAGACACGGCCCAUACUCCUACGGGAGGCAGCAGUAGGGAAUCUUCCACAAUGGGCGCAAGCCUGAUGGAGCAACACCGCGUGAGUGAAGAAGGGUUUCGGCUCGUAAAACUCUGUUGUUAAAGAAGAACGUAUCUAAGAGUAACUGCUUAGGUAGUGACGGUAUUUAACCAGAAAGCCACGGCUAACUACGUGCCAGCCGCCGCCGUAA